UGGAAAGCUAUUUGAUCUGGUGACAUC
rnacentral:piRNA from 1 species